rnacentral:rRNA from 1 species
UACGUAGGUGGCAAGCGUUGUCCGGAAUUAUUGGGCGUAAAGCGCGCGCAGGCGGUUCUUUAAGUCCGAUGUGAAAGCCCACGGCUCAACCGUGGAGGGUCAUUGGAAACUGGGGGACUUGAGUGCAGAAGAGGAGAGUGGAAUUCCACGUGUAGCGGUGAAAUGCGUAGAGAUGUGGAGGAACACCAGUGGCGAAGGCGACUCUCUGGUCUGUAACUGACGCUGAGGCGCGAAAGCGUGGGGAGCAAACAGG